rnacentral:rRNA from 1 species
AGAUUGAACGCUGGCGGCAUGCUUUACACAUGCAAGUCGAACGGCAGCGCGGGGCAACCUGGCGGCGAGUGGCGAACGGGUGAGUAAUAUAUCGGAACGUACCCAAGAGUGGGGGAUAACGUAGCGAAAGUUACGCUAAUACCGCAUACGAUCCAAGGAUGAAAGCAGGGGACCGCAAGGCCUUGUGCUCCUGGAGCGGCCGAUAUCUGAUUAGCUAGUUGGUAGGUAAAGGCUACCAAGGCUACGAUCAGUAGCUGGUCUGAGAGGACGACCAGCCACACUGGAACUGAGACACGGUCCAGACUCCUACGGGAGGCAGCAGUGGGGAAUUUUGGACAAUGGGCGCAAGCCUGAUCCAGCAAUGCCGCGUGAGUGAAGAAGG